rnacentral:rRNA from 1 species
GACAGAGGGUGCAAACGUUGCUCGGAAUCACUGGGCGUAAAGGGCGUGUAGGCGGGAAGGAAAGUCAGAUGUGAAAUCCCUGGGCUCAACCCAGGAACUGCAUUUGAAACUCCCUUUCUUGAGUGUCGGAGAGGAAAGUGGAAUUCCUGGUGUAGAGGUGAAAUUCGUAGAUAUCAGGAGGAACACCGGUGGCGAAGGCGGUUCUCUGGGACGGUACUGACGCUGAGACGCGAAAGCGUGGGGAGCGAACAGG